GAUGAAGAACGCAGCGAAAUGCGAUAAGUAAUGUGAAUUGCAGAUCUCAGUGAAUCAUCGAAUCUUUGAACGCACCUUGCGCCCUUUGGUAUUCCAAAGGGCAUGCCUGUUUGAGUGUCAUUAAAUUCUCAAAGUUUAUGUUUUUAAGCUUUGGAUUUGAAGAUUGCUGG
rnacentral:rRNA from 1 species